UACGAAGGGUGCAAACGUUGCUCGGAAUUAUUGGGCGUAAAGCGCACGUAGGCGGCUCUGUAAGUCGAUGUGAAAUCCCUCGGCUUAACCAAGGAAGUGCAUCCGAAACUGGCGAGCUUGAGUACGAAAGAGGAUCGCGGAAUUCCCGGUGUAGAGGUGAAAUUCGUAGAUAUCGGGAGGAACACCGGUGGCGAAGGCGGCGAUCUGGGUCGAUACUGACGCUGAGGUGCGAAAGCGUGGGGAGCAAACAGG
rnacentral:rRNA from 1 species